rnacentral:rRNA from 1 species
UAAUACGAAGGGGGCUAGCGUUGCUCGGAAUUACUGGGCGUAAAGGGAGCGUAGGCGGACAUUUAAGUCAGGGGUGAAAUCCCAGAGCUCAACUCUGGAACUGCCUUUGAUACUGGGUGUCUUGAGUGUGAGAGAGGUAUGUGGAACUCCGAGUGUAGAGGUGAAAUUCGUAGAUAUUCGGAAGAACACCAGUGGCGAAGGCGACAUACUGGCUCAUUACUGACGCUGAGGCUCGAAAGCGUGGGGAGCAAACAGGAUUAGAUACCCUGGUAGUCCACGCCGUAAACGAUGAUUGCUAGUUGUCGGGAAGCUUGCUUCUCGGUGACGCAGCUAACGCAUUAAGCAAUCCGCCUGGGGAGUACGGUCGCAAGAUUA